rnacentral:rRNA from 1 species
GUCCAGACUCCUACGGGAGGCAGCAGUGGGGAAUAUUGGACAAUGGGGGAAACCCUGAUCCAGCGACGCCGCGUGAGUGAAGAAGUAUUUCGGUACGUAAAGCUCUAUCAGCAGGAAAGAAAAUGACGGUACCUGACUAAGAAGCCCCGGCUAACUACGUGCCAGCAGCCGCGGUAAUACGUAGGGGGCAAGCGUUAUCCGGAUUUACUGGGUGUAAAGGGAGCGUAGACGGCAGCGCAAGUCUGGAGUGAAAUGCCGGGGCCCAACCCCGGAACUGCUCUGGAAACUGUGAAGCUGGAGUGCAGGAGAGGUAAGCGGAAUUCCUGGUGUAGCGGUGAAAUGCGUAGAUAUUAGGAGGAACACCAGUGGCGAAGGCGGCCUGCUGGACUGUAACUGACGUUGAGGCUCGAAAGCGUGGGUAUCGAACAGGAUUAGAUACCCGGGUAA